GGGUUGUGAGGUUAAGCGACUAAGCGUACACGGUGGAUGCCCUGGCAGUCAGAGGCGAUGAAGGACGUGCUAAUCUGCGAAAAGCGCCGGCGAGGUGAUAUGAACCCUUGACCCGGCGAUGUCCGAAUGGGGAAACCCAGUGCAAUUCGUUGCACUAUCGUUAACUGAAUACAUAGGUUAACGAGGCGAACCGGGGGAACUGAAACAUCUAAGUACCCCGAGGAAAAGAAAUCAACCGAGAUUCCCCCAGUAGCGGCGAGCGAACGGGGAGCAGCCCAGAGUCUGAAUCAGCUUGUGUGUUAGUGGAAGCGUCUGGAAAGUCGCACGGUACAGGGUGACAGUCCCGUACACGAAAACAUACAGGCUGUGAACUCGAAGAGUAGGGCGGGACACGUGGUAUCCUGUCUGAAUAUGGGGGGACCAUCCUCCAAGGCUAAAUACUCCUGACUGACCGAUAGUGAACCAGUACCGUGAGGGAAAGGCGAAAAGAACCCCGGCGAGGGGAGUGAAAAAGAACCUGAAACCGUGUACGUACAAGCAGUGGGAGCACCUUCGGGUGUGACUGCGUACCUUUUGUAUAAUGGGUCAGCGACUUAUAUUCUGUAGCAAGGUUAACCGUAUAGGGGAGCCGAAGGGAAACCGAGUCUUAACUGGGCGUUAAGUUGCAGGGUAUAGACCCGAAACCCGGUGAUCUAGCCAUGGGCAGGUUGAAGGUUGGGUAACACUAACUGGAGGACCGAACCGACUAAUGUUGAAAAAUUAGCGGAUGACUUGUGGCUGGGGGUGAAAGGCCAAUCAAACCGGGAGAUAGCUGGUUCUCCCCGAAAGCUAUUUAGGUAGCGCCUCGUGAACUCAUCUUCGGGGGUAGAGCACUGUUUCGGCUAGGGGGCCAUCCCGGCUUACCAACCCGAUGCAAACUACGAAUACCGAAGAAUGUUAUCACGGGAGACACACGGCGGGUGCUAACGUCCGUCGUGAAGAGGGAAACAACCCAGACCGCCAGCUAAGGUCCCAAAGUCAUGGUUAAGUGGGAAACGAUGUGGGAAGGCCCAGACAGCCAGGAUGUUGGCUUAGAAGCAGCCAUCAUUUAAAGAAAGCGUAAUAGCUCACUGGUCGAGUCGGCCUGCGCGGAAGAUGUAACGGGGCUAAACCAUGCACCGAAGCUGCGGCAGCGACACUAUGUGUUGUUGGGUAGGGGAGCGUUCUGUAAGCCGUUGAAGGUGGCCUGUGAGGGUUGCUGGAGGUAUCAGAAGUGCGAAUGCUGACAUAAGUAACGAUAAAGCGGGUGAAAAGCCCGCUCGCCGGAAGACCAAGGGUUCCUGUCCAACGUUAAUCGGGGCAGGGUGAGUCGACCCCUAAGGCGAGGCCGAAAGGCGUAGUCGAUGGGAAACAGGUUAAUAUUCCUGUACUUGGUGUUACUGCGAAGGGGGGACGGAGAAGGCUAUGUUAGCCGGGCGACGGUUGUCCCGGUUUAAGCAUGUAGGCGGAGGUUCCAGGUAAAUCCGGUACCUUUUUAACGCUGAGGUGUGAUGACGAGGCACUACGGUGCUGAAGUAACAAAUGCCCUGCUUCCAGGAAAAGCCUCUAAGCAUCAGGUAACA
rnacentral:rRNA from 1 species